CUGACCCGAGUCUCGGGCUGGGCGGAGGAAAGCAGUGUGGGGUCCCCGAAGUUUUCCGGCGCAAGAGGCGUCGGGAACUUAGAAGAGCCUGCUUGCGAUCGCCGAGGGAAAAAGGGUGGCCAGAACCGGAAGCCCGCCCGAGGGCCAGGCCGUUUCCGCGAUCCGCCUGUCUCAGGCUCCAUCUCCUUUUCCUUGGCAGUUUCUCGGGUAGGGCCGCGGCGCUCAGCGGCUGGAGGUCGGACGGGAUUCGGAGGAAACCUACAGAGUCUCGGCCUUGCCCAGCGGUGGCGUCGGUGCUCCAGGCCGAUCUCCGAGCCAGCAGAAAAGCCACAGAGGGCAGCGGAUGCGGCAGCGGGCGGCAGAACACAGGGAGAAACACCCCGCGCAAUACGCGGCAGCUGAUGCGACUUCCAUCCUGGAGGGAAAGGACGUUCCCUAGUCGGCUCGACGCUUCAAUACCAUCGAUAGGAGCCUGCCCACGGCCUCGGCGGUGGUUUUCUGAGUGACAGAAGGUUGAAGAACCCCUGAGCAACGCGACACCGGAAGGGCUAGGAAGAAAAAAUACAUGGAAUGAGGAAGCAGACCACUCCUGCCUUCGAAAUCCUCUUCGUGAGGUUUGUAGAAUUCCUACGAACUCAGGAAAGACAUCAGCAGAGGGCAAUGAUCGUCAUAGCCAGGGUCUCACUCUGUCACCCAGUCUGAAGUACAGUGGCACCAUCAUGGCUUACUACAGCUUCGAACUCCUGGACUCAAGCGAUCCAUCUGCCUCAGCCUCCCGAAGAGUUGGGACUGCAGGCACAUGCCAUUGGACCCGGCUAAUUUUUUAUCAUUUUUAUUAGAGAUGAGGUUUCGCUCUGUGUCUAGGUUGGUCUCAAACAUUCCUGAGCUCAAGCAAUUCUCCCAUCUCAGCUUCCCAAAGUGCUGGGAUUACAGGCAUGAGCUACCAUGCCUGCCCCAAAAACUAUUUCCUUACAAUUGGUUUGUUUUAAUCAGGAUCCAAAGUCUACACAACAUGCUUGGCUGUUACAGCGCCAAGUCUGUUUCACUUUAUAACAAUCUCUCUCCCAUGCCUCCCUUUUAAGGCUAUCCCACAGCUUCUCAUGAAAUAAUCUUGCCCUUUUCACUUUCCUGGAGGAGGACACAGUUUGUGUUGGCAAUGGGCGGAAGGACAAUAAGCAAAGGGGUCCCGUCCACCACCCUCACUCCCACUCCCAACUGACCUCUGCCCCGGCCAGUGGAGAAGCAGCGGAAGAUGACCAUGCGCAUGUCCAGCCCCUCCUGGACCCAGAUCUUGCUCAUGAUGCGAAUCAUCUGCAGCGUCAGCAUGUCCUGGCGAAGGUCGUCCCCACACUGGAUGGAGGGAGAAAGUGACCAGAUCCCGUCUCCACUGCCUCCCCAGCUCUCAGGUCUCCCAAGUGCUGAACCUUGACCCUAAACUAACAGUGACAGGGAGUUCCCCAUCCUCAUAUCCCUGACCUGCUCACUCAGCUCAGACCAGGUCAAAGAUGGCCCAGGAACCUUCCCAGUUUGCCCAUGUGUUGUUCCAGCUUGUCCCUCAAUCCCAUGGCCCCAUCUGAAUUAAAUUCACGGUCCACUUCUGCAUGUAGCCCCUCUGACCAUCAGGCUUUUUUUUUUUUUUUUUUGAGAUAAUGUUGUCUCACUCUGUCACCCAGCCUGGAGUGCAGUGGCACAAUCUUGGCUCACUGCAACCUCUGUCUCCCGGAUUCAAGUGAUUCUCCCACCUCAGCCUCCCAAGUAGCUGGAAUUACAGGUGCCUGCCACCACGCCCAGCUAAUUUUGUUUUGUAUUUGUAGUAGAGAUGGGGUCUCACCAUCUUGGCCAGGCUGGUCUCAAACUCCUCACCUCAAGUGAUCUGCAUGCCUCAGCCUCCCCAAGUGCUGGGAUUAUAGGCAUGAGGUGCCACGCCCAGGCCAUCAGGCCUUUUUUAAAACUUGAAUGUUUACACUUUGGAUUUGGAACUUGCACACAGCAAAUAUAUAAGUUACUAAGUCACGUGCAUGUAUUUUGUCUCCCCCGUUAGAUUAUAUGCUCUGAGACUA